CUCUGGAGAGCGGCGCUCGCAUCUGGCAAAGCGCCCACCGAUGGGGCAGGUUGCUACUCACCGAUGCACGGUGGCAGCCGGACAAUCUCUCAGGUACAUGGACAGGG
rfam:Candidatus Accumulibacter sp. SK-02 contig000065, whole genome shotgun sequence.